GACAGAGGGUGCAAACGUUGUUCGGAAUUACUGGGCGUAAAGCGCGUGUAGGCGGCAACGCAAGUCGGAUGUGAAAGCCCAUGGCUCAACCAUGGAAGUGCACCCGAAACUGCGUUGCUUGAGUCUCGGAGAGGAAGGUGGAAUGCUUGGUGUAGAGGUGAAAUUCGUAGAUAUCAAGCGGAACACCGGUGGCGAAGGCGGGACUCUGGGCCUACCCUGACGCUGAGGCGCGAAGGCGUGGGGAGCAAACGGG
rnacentral:rRNA from 1 species